CCGAGGAGGAGAAGGCGAGGCGGGCCAGCGACGGCCGAGGAAGGAUGCCGAGCGGCCCCAGCCGCGCUGCCCUCCGCGUGGUCCGGUGGCUCCCGACACCAUGGCCCUGGCUGAGGUAGUAGUUUGUGCUGUUGGUCGGGUUGUGACAUUGCCCGCUGUGGAGAUAACUGCGCAAGCUACUGCCUUGCUAGUGCUGGUGAUGCUCAGCGCCGCGAGGACAAUGGCUGGGAAUCCCCUUUGUUUUCCGGGGCGCGGGGGCGCAGGGACAGCCUGCGGAGCCCCGGUACCAGCGCCGCGGAGACCGUUAGCUUCGCGUCUUCCCGGAGGAAGGCGCCAGGGCGGAGGGGUGGAGGCGUUGCGUGGGAGAGCCUAGGGGAGAGCGGAGCCGUCCGAUUCGCGCUCUGGAGGGAAGGAGUGGAAUUGUGUGAGAUGCCGACACGCAACUUUUCACCCCAGAUCAUUUUAACUGUGCUUUCAAUGGUUAAAGCCAAAUUUAAUUUGUACCUGCUCCAUUCGUGAUCUGUAGGGCGGAGUGGAGAGAACUGUGGUGUCGUGCAGAACUGGUGUGGGGACAGAAGGGUGAACCCCGUAAUUACAAAGUUUAUGCCUUACCACCUUAGAUCUAUGUUUUAAAAAUUUUAAUAUUGUCUCGAUAAAUUUAGAAUUUCUUGAAAAAUGUAAACCUAAAGCAAUUUAUAGCUUCUGUUUUAACUUUUGUUUGCAACUCCUUGAAGGAGAUUGAGUUUGUAGUCGAACUGCACUAUUCCGAUUUUUUAAAUGUGUAAAGCAAAAAUAAAUUAUUUCUACAUUGUGCUGUG